rfam:Flavobacterium enshiense DK69 contig11, whole genome shotgun sequence.
CUUUAGCCCCGAUUGCAGUGGCACGAAGUAAAACGGAAAGCGGGAAUAUGG